rnacentral:rRNA from 1 species
GACGAACCGUGCGAACGUUGUUCGGAUUCACUGGGCUUAAAGGGCGCGUAGGCGGGUCUUUUAAGUCAGGGGUGAAAUCCUGGAGCUCAACUCCAGAACUGCCUUUGAUACUAUUAGUCUUGAAUUCUGUUGAGGUGGGCGGAAUACAUCAUGUAGCGGUGAAAUGCUUAGAUAUGAUGUAGAACACCGAUUGCGAAGGCAGCUCACUAAGCAGACAUUGACGCUGAGGCACGAAAGCGUGGGGAGCAAACAGG